rnacentral:rRNA from 1 species
GAUGAACGCUGGCGGCGUGCCUAAUACAUGCAAGUUGAGCGCUGAAGGUUGGUACUUGUACCGUCUGGAUGAGCAGCUAACGGGUGAGUAACGCGUGGGGAAUCUGCCUUUGAUCGGGGGACAACAUUUGGAAACGAAUGCUAAUACCGCAUAAAAACUUUAAACACAAGUUUUAAGUUUGAAAGAUGCAAUUGCAUCUCUCAAAGAUGAUCCCGCGUUGUAUUAGCUAGUUGGUGAGGUAAAGGCUCACCAAGGCGAUGAUACAUAGCCGACCUGGGAGGGUGAUCGGCCACAUUGGGACUGAGACACGGCCCAAACUCCUACGGGAGGCAGCAGUAGGGAAUCUUCGGCAAUGGACGACAGUCUGACCGAGCAACGCCGCGUGAGUGAAGAAGGUUUUCGGAUCGUAAAACUCUGUUGGUAGAGAAGAACGAUGGUGAGAGUGGAAAGCUCAUCAAGUGACGGUAACUACACAGAAAGGGACGGCUAACUACGUG